rnacentral:misc_RNA from 1 species
AAUUAUUGUUGAUGCAUUGAUGGAUAUUGAAUAACCUAUUACUACCCCCAUGUUAUGUUAUGUAAUGUUGCGUAUGUUAUGAAUCCAUAAGCAAAUCUUAAAAGGAGAUCUUGACGUUGGCCUUCAAGAGAGAUCUGAUAAUUGCCUUUAGGUACAUGACACGGGUCAUGUUUUAAAGGAAAGUUUGAAAAAUAUUAGUGAUAAUGUCUAUCUUACUUUUUG